rnacentral:rRNA from 1 species
AUUGAACGCUGGCGGCCGGCUUAACACAUGCAAGUCGAACGAGUGGCGGACGGGUGAGUAAUGCUUGGGAAUCUAGCUCAUGGAGGGGGAUAACUACGGGAAACUGUAGCCAAUACCGCCUACCAUAGGAUGAGCCAUAGUGGGAUUAAGUAGUUGGUGAGGUAAAGGCUCACCAAGCCGACGAUCUCUAGUUGGUCUGAGAAGAUGACCAGCCACACUGGGACUGAGAAACGGCCGAGACUCCUACGGGAGGCAGCAGUGGGGAAUAUUGCGCAAUGGGGGGAAGCUGACGCAGCCAUGCCGCGUGGAUGAAGAAGGCCUUCGGGUUGUAAAGUUCUUUCGGUAGCGAGGCGUUAACUACAGGAGAAGCACCGGCUAACUCCGUGCCAGCGGCCGCGGUAAAGC